rnacentral:rRNA from 1 species
GAUGAACGCUGGCGGCGUGCCUAAUACAUGCCAGUCGAGCGAACAGACGAGGAGCUUGCUCCUUUGACGUUAGCGGCGGACGGGUGAGUAACACGUGGAUAACCUACCUAUAAGACUGGGAUAACUUCGGGAAACCGGAGCUAAUACCGGAUAACAUGUUGAACCGCAUGGUUCAACAGUGAAAGACGGUCUUGCUGUCACUUAUAGAUGGAUCCGCGCCGCAUUAGCUAGUUGGUAAGGUAACGGCUUACCAAGGCAACGAUGCGUAGCCGACCUGAGAGGGUGAUCGGCCACACUGGAACUGAGACACGGUCCAGACUCCUACGGGAGGCAGCAGUAGGGAAUCUUCCGCAAUGGGCGAAAGCCUGACGGAGCGACGCCGCGUGAGUGAAGAAGGUCUUCGGAUCGUAAAACUCUGUUAUUAGGGAAGAACAAAUGUGUAAGUAACUAUGCACGUCUUGACGGUACCUAAUCAGAAAGCCACGGCUAACUACGUG